UAAUAACUUAGAUUGUAUUUGGAAGUCUAAUGUAAAAAGAAUGGUAGUUGGGAUGUAAAGCAUAUGAAUGUGAAUGUUGUAAUAACAUAGGAUGUGUUAUAUUGUGAUACUUUCCUUACGCAAUCAUGAUUGAUAUCUGUUCCUGGUUGGAACCAUUGUAAUGUACAUUGUUUGGAUUGCGACGCCUAGAACGUACAGGGGAGACUCUAUCCGCGUACAGGGGA
rnacentral:lncRNA from 1 species